CCUUCUACUCUCUCCACGAUCCCCUCCCCUCCCACCUCGCCGAGCCUCGAUCUGGCCGGAUCUUGCCAAUCCACACACGGACCUGGCCUAACCAUCCCGCAGCUGGAACCACCAACCCAUCUUGAGAUCUCAAUGGCGGCGGGUACCAAGAACCGAUGCUGCACCAACCGUGUGCGUCACAAGGAGGGCGAGUGUGGUUGCUGCCGGAGCAGUGAACGCUGCGCUUGGCGCUGGAGCAGCGGGGGCUGGGUGGGCCGCGACACUUGAUUGGGUCGUUUCCAACUGCCCCGGCGUCGGCAGCGAUGAGACGGUGCGCCAGCAGACAUGAUCGUUCACGCGCAAGGACCCCAUGAAUCCCGUGUACGCGGCCAAGGUGACCACGUCGCUCGCAGCUCCAUCUGGGCUAUCCUCACUGUCAUCGUCGCUUUCGGCUGGUCUCUUUAUUUUCUUUCUGAACACUAUCAAUUGAUGAAGUUGUUUUCUCAAAUUGAUGUCUGAAUGUGCCAAAUCUGCUGCUCUGUAGGUGCCAGUGUCGAUGACAUAAUUUAUCAAUGGUGGGUUCAGUAGUAACUCAAAUCUGUUUCUCUGAAUGUGCCAGCGUGUGAUGGAAUUUAUCAUUGCUGCUGAGCUCUCUUUACUUUGGGCACUAUUUACCAGCAUCUCAAUCCCGACCUAGCAGGUCUUCUUACUGGCAUCAACAGGUACCACUCUCUCCCCUUCUCCUCUAGAAAAAUGCAUGAAUAGAGAAUUCACAGCAAACUGGACAAGAUCAGUAUACUAGCAUCGUUACACUAUUAAUUACGAAAUACUGCAAGGUGGAUAUGGUUCUUAUAGUAUCAUCAACUAUUCAUUAUAUUAUUGUCCUAUGCAGCUGCAUUUGAUAAUAAUUGCCUUGUGUUUAGGAACGGAAGGAGUACUUUGUUACAUUGGAUCUCUUGGUGGUUAAUUUCCCCCAUUCUGGAGGAUUCAUGCUUAUUCACUACCCUUUUGUAUGCAUGGUUGAUUGCAUGCAUUAUCUUUUGCUUCCCGCCUGCAAUGGUUGUUCAAUAGAUUUUCUAUGUUCCAUUCAACAUGCACAUUAACUUGUUGACAUGUUUGGGCCAAACAAUAUGGAACAUGGAGGGUGUCUUGUCCUGAGACCCGAGCCAUUCACAUGUAUUGUAACGCUUUCCCUUACCUUUGGUGCAUCAUGCCAAUGUAUUUCUUUUUAUUAAUUCCCCAACUGCUAAUGAGUUACCUAAAGUUGAAUCUAUAUUGAAUACUCAUUUACUUUAAUAACUUGGUCAAUACUUGAUGUGCGCCUAGACAAGUGUUGCUACACAUUGGAAUCUUAAAUUUUAUUUCAGGGUGGCAUUUGUAUUCUUUAUCUGGAAAUAAUACUUGCUUGUUAACCUCUGUUGUAUUGUCAUGAUAGUCGUUGUUAAGCUACAAUGAGAACAUUUUGUCCAACAUUUGUCCUAUAGUGGGUGAUUGUCUUGUGAAAAAUACCUCUGUACUGUACUGUCAUGACACUUUGGUUGGCUUAUCAUAAUUGUAGUUGUUUCCUUAUGACAGUAUAUGCGUCUUACAACAAAGAUGUUUCAAUUCAAUUGCUAUGUGGUCUGCAUGUUCUUCUCAUGUGUGAUCUUUCUUGAUCCCAGGAUAUUCUGCAAUCCAGAAGAACUGGCUACUCAGAAGUGGAUGACAGUGAACAGGAGAAGCUAUGGUUUCCUGAUUCGUUUUUAUGUGUACGUGUUGUCAUGAAGCAUAGUGGUUCUGGCUUUGUGUAAAAUCAUUAUAAGUAUAGUACCUCUUUAGAGGAGUUUAACGAUGAACUGUGUAUGUGAUUCAUGUACCUGAAGUAUCCACUAUGAUGCCUAUUGCUUAAAACAAUAUAACUAUUUACUG